rnacentral:rRNA from 1 species
CCUACGGGAGGCAGCAGUGGGGAAUAUUGCACAAUGGGGGAAACCCUGAUGCAGCGACGCCGCGUGAGUGAAGAAGUAUUUCGGUAUGUAAAGCUCUAUCAGCAGGAACGAGACAAGACGGUACCUGACUAAGAAGCCCCGGCUAACUACGUGCCAGCAGCCGCGGUAAUACGUAGGGGGCAAGCGUUAUCCGGAAUCACUGGGUGUAAAGGGAGCGUAGACGGCUGUGCAAGCCUGAAGUGAAAGGCGGGGGACCAACCCCUGGACUGCUUUGGGAACUGUACGGCUGGAGUGCAGGAGAGGUAAGUGGAAUUCCUAGUGUAGCGGUGAAAUGCGUAGAUAUUAGGAGGAACACCAGUGGCGAAGGCGGCUUACUGGACUGUAACUGACGUUGAGGCUCGAAAGCGUGGGGAGCAAACAGGAUUAGAUACCCUAGUAGUC